CGCGGCCUAUCAGCUUGUUGGUGAGGUAACGGCUCACCAAGGCAUCGACGGGUAGCUGGUCUGAGAGGAUGAUCAGCCACACUGGGUCUGAGACACGGCCCAGACUCCUACGGGAGGCAGCAGUAGGGAAUCUUGCGCAAUGGGCGAAAGCCUGACGCAGCAACGCCGCGUGGGGGAUGAAUGCCUUCGGGUUGUAAACCCCUUUCAGCAGGGACGAAAAUGACGGUACCUGCAGAAGAAGCUCCGGCCAACUACGUGCCAGCAGCCGCGGUAAUACGUAGGGAGCGAGCGUUGUCCGGAAUUAUUGGGCGUAAAGAGCUCGUAGGCGGUUCAGUAAGUCGGGUGUGAAAACUCAAGGCUCAACCUUGAGACGCCACUCGAUACUGCUGUGACUUGAGUCCGGUAGAGGAGUGUGGAAUUCCUGGUGUAGCGGUGAAAUGCGCAGAUAUCAGGAGGAACACCAGCGGCGAAGGCGGCACUCUGGGCCGGUACUGACGCUGAGGAGCGAAAGCAUGGGGAGCAAACAGGAUUAGAUACCCUGGUAGUCCAUGCCGUAAACGUUGGGCACUAGGUAUGGGAUCAUAUCAACGGAUUCCGUGCCGUAGCUAACGCAUUAAGUGCCCCGCCUGGGGAGUACGG
rnacentral:rRNA from 1 species